CACGUAGGCGGUUUGUUAUGUCGGAUGUGAAAGCCCUUGGCUCAACUGAGGAAGUGCAUCCGAAACUGGCAAGCUAGAGUACUAAAGAGGGUCGCGGAAUUCCCGGUGUAGAGGUGAAAUUCGUAGAUAUCGGGAGGAACACCGGUGGCGAAGGCGGCGACCUGGGUAGAUACUGACGCUGAGGUGCGAAAGCGUGGGGAGAAC
rnacentral:rRNA from 1 species